UUUUACGGAGAGUUUGAUCCUGGCUCAGGAUGAACGCUGGCGGCGUGCUUAACACAUGCAAGUCGAACGAUGAGCCCUCACUUGUGGGGGGGGAUUAGUGGCGAACGGGUGAGUAACACGUGAGUAACCUGCCCUUGACUCUGGGAUAAGCCUGAGAAAUUGGGUCUAAUACUGGAUACGACCUUCUGGCGCAUGCCAUGUUG
rnacentral:rRNA from 1 species